AUGUUUUUUUUUUCCAAAGAGAGGUUUCUCUGCGUGCUUGAGGUAUAAUGCAAGUACGGUCGUUUUAGGUUUUACCAACUGCGGCUAAUCUUUUUUAUACUGAGCGUAUUGGAACGUUAUCGAUAAGAAGAGAGCGUCUAGGCGAACAAUGUUCUUAAAGUUUGACCUCAAAUCAGGUAGGAGUACCCGCUGAACUUAAGCAUAUCAAUAAGCGGAGGAAAAGAAACCAACCGGGAUUGCCUUAGUAACGGCGAGUGAAGCGGCAAAAGCUCAAAUUUGAAAUCUGGUACCUUCGGUGCCCGAGUUGUAAUUUGGAGAGGGCAACUUUGGGGCCGUUCCUUGUCUAUGUUCCUUGGAACAGGACGUCAUAGAGGGUGAGAAUCCCGUGUGGCGAGGAGUGCGGUUCUUUGUAAAGUGCCCUCGAAGAGUCGAGUUGUUUGGGAAUGCAGCUCUAAGUGGGUGGUAAAUUCCAUCUAAAGCUAAAUAUUGGCGAGAGACCGAUAGCGAACAAGUACAGUGAUGGAAAGAUGAAAAGAACUUUGAAAAGAGAGUGAAAAAGUACGUGAAAUUGUUGAAAGGGAAGGGCAUUUGAUCAGACAUGGUGUUUUGUGCCCUCUGCUCCUUGUGGGUAGGGGAAUCUCGCAUUUCACUGGGCCAGCAUCAGUUUUGGUGGCAGGAUAAAUCCAUAGGAAUGUAGCUUGCCUCGGUAAGUAUUAUAGCCUGUUGGGAAUACUGCCAGCUGGGACUGAGGACUGCGACGUAA
rnacentral:rRNA from 1 species